CCAGCUGGUAUUUUUUUCCUCUCUCUGUCUCUGUUUUUAUUUUUCCUUUGUCACUGUGGGUUUCAAUGUUCUGGGGAGGAGGAGCUCACCCUGGAGUAUUCAGGGAGUGAAAUCAUACUCAGCAACAAAGACCCGGCCCCUAAAACGUGACAACAUGGAGACGUGUGCAGACACCAAGCAGAGGAAGCUGGGAACAAAAGAGUCCAGACAGCAAGAGUCUCUUGUAUGCAGCGGAACUAAACUAGGGGAGGAAAUCAGCACAGCAGCUGCCUUGGUGCGCCGCAAGGAUUAACUGCAAAGGAGCCCAGGAGCACUUUCCUGCAUGACGGGACCCGUCUAGGUCAGAAGUGUGUGACUGGGUUUCUGUACUCAGCAAAGCCCGCUGAGCUGUGUACUUCGGAUAUGCACAUCUCACUGUGCGCUCUCUACAGACGCCGGAAGUUCCGCCAUCUUGUUUUGCCCUGGUUUCUCAAUGCAUCAUGGUCUCUCUGGGCCCAGUGCCUCUCUGCUUCCCUGAGACUGGCAGCCCUGUGAGGGGCUCAGUGAUUCAGCCCCUCUGACAUCUUAUCUCCUGCUGGACAAAGCAGAGAGCCAGGCCUUGGUGGAAGGAAUCCCUGCUAGCUUCCUGUGUUGCCCUCAGAAACACUGCUCUAUCCCCUCCCUACCCUUAAAGGAGGAAAAGCGUUCAGUCUUCAGUGCCCUCAUCUUAAGAAAAUAGAACCUAAGAGAAAAGCAUGUUUGGAGUAAUUCCAUUUUAGGCACAGUGGCCCCCAACUGCUUUGGAGGCCCAAGGUUAGUGGGGACGUGGGGGAAGCGUUAACGUCCUCCUCACCUUGGGGUAACAGAGGAGAGCGGUUUGGAAGGAAGAGCCCAAUACGUGAUCCUGUCACACAGGGUGUAAGGAUCUAUAUAAAUGAACCUGGGUUGCUUAUAAAAUGGAAACAGUGACUUGUGCAUUACUAGCUAUGGUAAGACUGAAGAGAAGACUUGAGGGUUUUUUGGAUUUGUUUUUCGCAUUUAUGGAAAUGGAACCCCUGGCCUCACACAAGCUAGACCGGCAUUCUGUCACUGAGCUACACCCUGAGUGCAAGAACUUGCAUUUUUUAGAUGGAGUUGCCUAGUUUAGAUUAAGUAGUUCUACUUUUUUCUUUCAUUGCAAAGAAAAGGAAUCUGAGGGAUUCUCAGGAAAAC